rnacentral:rRNA from 1 species
GACGAACGCUGGCGGCGUGCUUAACACAUGCAAGUCGAACGGAAGGGCCCUGCGUUUGUGUGGUGCUCGAGUGGCGAACGCGUGAGUAACACGUGAGUAACCUGCCCUUGACUUUGGGAUAACUUCAGGAAACUGGGGCUAAUACCGGAUAUAAGCUCCUGCUGCGUAUGGUUGGAUGGAGAGUUUCGGCGGUUGUGGAUGGACUCGCGGCUUAUCAGCUUGUUGGUGGGGUAGUGGCUUACCAAGGCUUUGACGGGUAGCCGGCCUGAGAGGGUGAACGGCGACAUUGGGACUGAGAUACGGCCCAGACUCGUACGGGAGGCAGCAGUGGAGAAUAUUGCGCAACGGGCGGAAGCCUGAGGCAGAAGCGCCGGGUGCGGGAUGCCGGCCUUCGGGUUGUAAACCGAUUUCGACUGUGAUGAAGAGUGAGUGACGGUAAUUGGUAAAGAAGCACCGGCUAACUACGUG